GACGAACGCUGGCGGCGUGCUUAACACAUGCAAGUCGAACGGAAAGGCCCUGCUUUUGUGGGGUGCUCGAGUGGCGAACGGGUGAGUAACACGUGAGUCACCUGCCCUUGACUUUGGGAUAACUUCAGGAAACUGGGGCUAAUACCGGAUAGGAGCUCCUGCUGCAUGGUGGGGGUUGGAAAGUUUCGGCGGUUGGGGAUGGACUCGCGGCUUAUCAGCUUGUUGGUGGGGUAGUGGCUUACCAAGGCUUUGACGGGUAGCCGGCCUGAGAGGGUGACCGGCCACAUUGGGCCUGAGAUACGGCCCAGACUCCUACGGGAGGCAGCAGUGGGGAAUAUUGCACAAUGGGCGGAAGCCUGAUGCAGCAACGCCGCGUGCGGGAUGACGGCCUUCGGGUUGUAAACCGCUUUCGCCUGUGACGAAGCGUGAGUGACGGUAAUGGGUAAAGAAGCACCGGCUAACUACGUG
rnacentral:rRNA from 1 species